GGGCGCUUAGCUCAGUUGGCAGAGCAGCUGACUCUUAAUCAGCGGGUCGUAGGUUCGAGCCCUACAGCGCCCACCA
rnacentral:tRNA from 2 species